rnacentral:rRNA from 1 species
GGAGGAUGCAAGCGUUAUCCGGAAUGAUUGGGCGUAAAGCGUCUGCAGGUGGCAGUUCAAGUCUGCUGUCAAAGACCGGGGCUUAACUUCGGAAAGGCAGUGGAAACUGAACAGCUAGAGUAUGGUAGGGGCAGAGGGAAUUCCUGGUGUAGCGGUGAAAUGCGUAGAGAUCAGGAAGAACAUCGGUGGCGAAGGCGCUCUGCUGGACCAUAACUGACGCUGAGGCACGAAAGCGUGGGUAGCAAACAGG